UGGGGUUAAGCUUAGUGGUAGAGCACUUGCCUAGAAUGCUUGAAGCCCUGGGUUAAAUCCCAGAACCACAC
rfam:Ictidomys tridecemlineatus contig055627, whole genome shotgun sequence.